GACGAGGGAUCCUAGCGUUGUUCGGAAUUAUUGGGCGUAAAGCGGGUGUAGGCGGACUUAUAAGUCAGGUGUGAAAUCCCAAGGGCUCAACCCGUGGAAGUGCACUUGAUACUGCAAGUCUUGAGUGUUGGUAGAGGCUAUUAGAAUUCCUGGUGAUAGUGGUGAAAGUACGUAAGAUAUCAGGAGGAAUACCGGAGGCGA
rnacentral:rRNA from 1 species